CCACAGAUAGUUCAGAGGUAGAAUUUCCACCUUUCACGCAGGAGACCUGGGUUCAAUUCCUGGCCAGUGCA
rnacentral:tRNA from 1 species